AUUGAACGCUGGCGGCAGGCCUAACACAUGCAAGUCGAGCGGCAGCGGAAAGUAGCUUGCUACUUUGCCGGCGAGCGGCGGACGGGUGAGUAAUGUCUGGGAAACUGCCUGAUGGAGAGGGAUAACUACUGGAAACGGUAGCUAAUACCGCAUAACGUCGCAAGACCAAAGAGGGGGACCUUCGGGCCUCUUGCCAUCAGAUGUGCCCAGAUGGGAUUAGCUAGUAGGUGGGGUAACGGCUCACCUAGGCGACGAUCCCUAGCUGGUCUGAGAGGAUGACCAGCCACACUGGAACUGAGACACGGUCCAGACUCCUACGGGAGGCAGCAGUGGGGAAUAUUGCACAAUGGGCGCAAGCCUGAUGCAGCCAUGCCGCGUGUAUGAAGAAGGCCUUCGGGUUGUAAAGUACUUUCAGCGGGGAGGAAGGCGACAAGGUUAAUAACCUUGUCGAUUGACGUUACCCGCAGAAGAAGCACUGGCUAACUCCGUGCCAGCCGCCGCUGUAA
rnacentral:rRNA from 1 species